AGAACGAACGCUGGCGGCAGGCUUAACACAUGCAAGUCGAACGCCCUCGCAAGGGGGAGUGGCAGACGGGUGAGUAACGCGUGGGAACAUACCCUUCGGUACGGAACAACUUGGGGAAACUCGAGCUAAUACCGUAUACGGCCUAUGGGCGAAAGAUUGAUCGCCGAAGGAUUGGCCCGCGUCCGAUUAGCUAGUUGGUGGGGUAAUGGCCUACCAAGGCGACGAUCGGUAGCU
rnacentral:rRNA from 1 species